rnacentral:lncRNA from 1 species
GUUUGAUAAGUUUUCUUAUUGCCGUCAAUGGCAAUAUAUAUGUGUGUAUGAAUGCGUGUACAAAUCUCAAUAGACGUAUAAUAAGUGAUCAUAGUAUAUGUGUAUACAAAAUUAUAAGUAAUUGUUAAGCCUAAUAUGGAUGUUAUUUCCAAGUGUCAUUGAACACCUCCAAGUAGCUUUCCAAGACCAGACUCUUGCCCUUUACCAAUUCACUUCCACUUCGUAUUGACUGAAAA